rnacentral:rRNA from 1 species
AAUCAACGCUGGCGGCGUGCCUAACACAUGCAAGUCGAACGAGAAAGUGGAGCAAUCCAUGAGUAAAGUGGCGCACGGGUGAGUAACACGUGACUAACCUACCUUUUAGUGGGGGAUAACCUAGGGAAACCUGGGCUAACACCGCAUAACACUUACGAGUCAAAGCAGCAAUGCGCUGAAAGAGGGGGUCGCGGCCGAUUAGCUAGUUGGCGGGGUAAUGGCCCACCAAGGCGAUGAUCGGUAUCCGGCCUGAGAGGGCGCACGGACACACUGGAACUGAAACACGGUCCAGACUCCUACGGGAGGCAGCAGUGGGGAAUUUUGCGCAAUGGGGGAAACCCUGACGCAGCAACGCCGCGUGGAGGAUGAAGUCCCUUGGGGCGUAAACUCCUUUCGAUCGGGACGAUAAUGACGGUACCGGAAGAAGAAGCCCCGGCUACUUCGUGCCAGC